UCACGUUGGAUAAAGUCGAACUCACCGGCUCCACUCGGUGCGGAUGUAAACGAAGAUUAGAUUAUCGUUACGACUGCUGUCUCGACAGGAAAUCGUUCUCACUGCACCUUGCGCGAGAAAGUGUUACUAGGAUGUGCACGAGAUGAACACUUUUCGUACAGAAGAUUCAUUGAUCACCGAGCCCAUUACUUUAUUUCUAUUAUCUUUAUUUCUAAAAGGAAAGUGAGAUAGAGAUAGAGAUAGAGAGAGAGAGAGAGAGAGAGAGAGAGAGAGAGAAUAAAA